rnacentral:piRNA from 1 species
CACAUUGUCUUGGCUGGUAUCGGUGCUACAA